rnacentral:rRNA from 1 species
GACGGAGGAUGCAAGCGUUAUCCGGAAUUAUUGGGCGUAAAGCGUCCGCAGGUGGCUAGUCAAGUCUGCUGUCAAAGCGCGGAGCUUAACUUCGUAAAGGCAGUGGAAACUGAUUAGCUAGAGCAUGGUAGGGGUAGAGGGAAUUCCCGGUGUAGCGGUGAAAUGCAUUGAGAUCGGAAAGAACACCAACGGCGAAAGCACUCUGCUGGGCCGACACUGACACUGAGAGACGAAAGCUAGGGGAGCAAAUGGG